AGAGGGUGCAAGCGUUAAUCGGAAUUACUGGGCGUAAAGCGUGCGCAGGCGGUUUUGUAAGCCAGAUGUGAAAGCCCCGGGCUUAACCUGGGAAUGGCAUUUGGGACUGCAAGGCUGGAGUGCGGCAGAGGAGACUGGAAUUCCCGGUGUAGCAGUGAAAUGCGUAGAUAUCGGGAGGAAUACCGAUGGCGAAGGCAGGUCUCUGGGCUGACACUGACGCUCAUGCACGAAAGCGUGGGGAGCAAACAGGAUUAGAUACCCUGGUAGUCCACGCCCUAAACGAUGUCGACUGGUUGUUGGGGGUUUGACACUCUCAGUAACGAAGCUAACGCGUGAAGUCGACCGCCUGGGGAGUACGGCCGCAAGGUUA
rnacentral:rRNA from 1 species